rnacentral:rRNA from 1 species
AUUGAACGCUGGCGGCAGGCUUAACACAUGCAAGUCGAGCGAGCGGCGGACGUGUGAGUAAUGUCUGGGCAUCUGCCUGAUGGAGGGGGUUCACUACUGGAAACGGUAGCCACAACCGCAUACCAUCAGAUGUGCCCAGGUGGGAUUAGCUAGUAGGUGGGGUAAUGGCUCACCUAGGCGACGAUCCCUAGCUGGGCUGAGAGGAGGACCAGUAACACUGGAACUGAGACACGGUCCAGACGCCUACGGGAGGCAGCAGUGGGGAAUAUUGGACAAUGGGCGAAAGCCUGAUGCAGCCAUGCCGCGUGGGUGAAGAAGGUCUUCGGAUUGUAAAGCACUUUAAGGUGGGAGGCGUUACCAACAGAAGAAGCACCGGCUAACUCCGUGCCAGCAGCCGCGGUAAUUC